GCUCCACAAAAGGUUCAAACUCCAAAAAAUAAUAAAAUAAAAUCAUAUAUAAAAAAUUUUGUAUAAUUUAUAUUAUAAAAAAAUAAUAAUAAAAUUAUAUAUAAAAAGUUUUAUGUAAUUUAUACUAUACAAUGAAUAAGGUAUCGAAAGAAAUCUUAUCAUUGACCGUAUCCAUUUAAAAAAGAGCUGUAAUAGACUAGACCUUUGAACUUAGUCCUUAUAUCUAAUUUUAAAAAUGGGUGAGAUAUCCCAUAGAAAUCUUUUAUGUCCUUACUCCGAAUGAGAUUGGCAGCCCA
rnacentral:lncRNA from 1 species